AAACAUUCCAAAGGAUAUAAGACAUCCACUAACUUU
rnacentral:tRNA from 1 species